GAAUAUUGGGCAAUGGACGCAAGUCUGACCCAGCCAUGCCGCGUGGAGGAUGAAGGUCCUCUGGAUUGUAAACUUCUUUUAUUUGGGAAGAAAUGCCGAUUUUCUAAUUGGUUUGACGGUACCAGAUGAAUAAGCACCGGCUAACUCCGUGCCAGCAGCCGCGGUAAUACGGAGGGUGCAAGCGUUAUCCGGAUUCACUGGGUUUAAAGGGUGCGUAGGCGGGCAUGUAAGUCAGUGGUGAAAUCCCCGAGCUUAACUUGGGAACUGCCGUUGAUACUAUGUGUCUUGAAUAUCGUGGAGGUAAGCGGAAUAUGUCAUGUUGCGGUGAAAUGCUUAGAUAUGACAUAGAACACCGAUUGCGAAGGCAGCUUACUACACGAUCAUUGACGCUGAGGCACGAAAGCGUGGGGAGCAAACAG
rnacentral:rRNA from 1 species